UACACUCCUACGGGAGGCAGCAGUGGGGAAUAUUGGACAAUGGGCGCAAGCCUGAUCCAGCCAUGCCGCGUGAGUGAUGAAGGCCCUAGGGUUGUAAAGCUCUUUCACCGGUGAAGAUAAUGACGGUAACCGGAGAAGAAGCCCCGGCUAACUUCGUGCCAGCAGCCGCGGUAAUACGAAGGGGGCUAGCGUUGUUCGGAUUUACUGGGCGUAAAGCGCACGUAGGCGGACUAUUAAGUCAGGGGUGAAAUCCCGGGGCUCAACCCCGGAACUGCCUUUGAUACUGGUAGUCUUGAGUUCGAUAGAGGUGAGUGGAAUUCCGAGUGUAGAGGUGAAAUUCGUAGAUAUUCGGAGGAACACCAGUGGCGAAGGCGGCUCACUGGCUCGAUACUGACGCUGAGGUGCGAAAGCGUGGGGAGCAAACAGGAUUAGAAACCCUAGUAGUCCCAUGA
rnacentral:rRNA from 1 species